rnacentral:lncRNA from 1 species
CGACUCCACCUCCACCGCCCCCGUCGCCCCCGCCGUCUUCAUCGGCGGCACACGUGUCGGAGGCCUGGAGAGCCUCGUGGCCCUCCACCUCAGCGGCCACCUCGUCCCUCGCCUCGUCGAAGUUGGUGCUCUCUGGGUAUGAUAAUAGCUGUAAUUUUGUUCCUGAUUUGGGGUUAUUAUUGUAUUUGAACAAAAGACUAGGAAAAUAAUUUUGUUAUUAUCAAAAAAAAAAAAAAAAAAACCUCACCACGAGUACGCUGCACCUCGUUGAUGGAGCUCUACUCGCCGCUACAGGACGACAAGUGCAUGUAGGUAUUUUAGGAUAAUAUUGUGUAGCGAGUACACAUAGGUUCCUACCU